GAUGAACGCUGGCGGCGUGCCUAAUACAUGCAAGUCGAGCGAACGGACGAGAAGCUUGCUUCUCUGAUGUUAGCGGCGGACGGGUGAGUAACACGUGGAUAACCUACCUAUAAGACUGGGAUAACUUCGGGAAACCGGAGCUAAUACCGGAUGAUAUUUUGAACCGCAUGGUUCAAUAGUGAAAGACGGUCUUGCUGUCACUUAUAGAUGGAUCCGCGCUGCAUUAGCUAGUUGGUAAGGUAACGGCUUACCAAGGCAACGAUGCAUAGCCGACCUGAGAGGGUGAUCGGCCACACUGGAACUGAGACACGGUCCAGACUCCUACGGGAGGCAGCAGUAGGGAAUCUUCCGCAAUGGGCGAAAGCCUGACGGAGCAACGCCGCGUGAGUGAUGAAGGUCUUCGGAUCGUAAAACUCUGUUAUUAGGGAAGAACAUAUGUGUAAGUAACUGUGCACGUCUUGACGGUACCUAAUCAGAAAGCCACGGCUAACUACGUG
rnacentral:rRNA from 1 species